UGCUUUGGUGGACUAGUGGCUAGCAUGCAGCGCUCUCACCGCCGCGGCCCGGGUUCGAGUCACUGUCAGUAA